rnacentral:rRNA from 1 species
CCCUUAGAUGUCCUGGGCCGCACGCGCGUUACACUGAUGCAUUCAACGAGCUUAUAACCUUGGCCGAGAGGCCUGGGCAAUCUUGUUAACGUGCAUCGUGAUAGGGAUAGAUUAUUGAAAUUAUUAAUCUUGAACGAGGAAUUCCUAGUAAACGCAGAUCAUCAAUCUGCAUUGAUUACGCCCCUGCCCUUUGUACACACCGCCCGUCGCACCUACCGAUUGGAUGGUCCGGUGAAGCCUCGGGAUUGUGGUUCUUGCCGCUUUAUUGUGGCGUGACCGCGAGAACUUGUCUAAACCUUAUCAUCUAGAGGAAGGUGAAGUCGUAACA